CUACUACCGAUUGAAUGGCUCAGUGAGGCCUUCGGACUGGCUCGAGGAGGUUGGCAACGACCACCUCGAGCCGGAAAGUUCGUCAAACUCGGUCAUUUAGAGGAAGUAAAAGUCGUAACAAGGUU
rnacentral:rRNA from 1 species